CUAAAGCUCUCGCUGUCUCUCCUUGACUUUCAGUUUCUGUAAUGGAUUCUUUCCCCUUCUCCGCAACUAAUGCCUCUGGGGACCUCAAUUUUACACCACUGCACAAGAGCAAUUCCCACUGAAAGCUCUGGGGAAGAGAUGGCAUUGGCGGGGAUUCAAACGGCACACCUGGUACCAUCUGCUGCAAUUUCAUGUUGACUUUAGUUCUGUCACUCCUCUUUAGUUGGAGGAGGAUUAGGUGUCAGGGACAGGAGGUCCAAUAACACUACAGACUCUGGCACCGUUUCGAGGCGAUGCCUAAGUGCACUGUAGAUGUGCCAACAUGCUAACCUUGGCUGUUAUCUGUAGAGGCAAGGUUUCAACAGCUCCGCUCUGUGGUUGACUCCGAAGUUGGAAAAGUUCAUCAGCUGUUGACUUUGGGAGAAGUCUUGCCACCUGCUGGAAGAACACUGAUCCCCCUCUGGGAGGUCAAUUUCUGUGCUGACUUAUCCCUGUGCGAUCCGGAUGGAGUCUAACUCAGCACAGAAUUUAGUCCCUGGCCCUUAAUGAGGCAUUACUUUACCGGAUGGCUCUUCAGUGCAUUGGACAGAACGGCAGCGUCAGGAGCAGCACAGCGAGUAGCAGGAUCCUCGGUUGGGUGGCAAAGGUUCCCAAGCCUGUGGCAAUAGCUGGAGCCCUCAGCUUUCACCUGUAACAAUAGCCCAGUGGCUGACUGAAGGCACAGAAGCCAUCCCUCUUCCUGAAGGCAUCCGCCAAGCGCUGCAUGUGCUGCCUAAACACAGCGAGGAUUUUGUUGUUGGGUUUGGUUUUUUUCUUUUUCCUUCUCGCUGCCUACAGAGCCAAAGGGCCUGUUUGCUUUCCUGUUACUCAUCAGGAGGGUUUAUCUGCGACUGCUUGAGAGAGGGAAAAACUCCAUCGCCACAGGCAGGCAGGCUCAGUGAUCACGCACGUAAUGGCUGGGGCCCGCAGGCCCAUAUGCUAGCCAUCCCAAGAGGUGGAAGGCCAGCUCUGAUCACAUCCAGCUGCUCAGGAUACAAUUGAUCAGUGAAAAGAACAGUUAAGAUGAUGGAGGUGUGCUCUAGGCGACUCGCCGGCAGGAGGACGAUUUCACAGGAAGACACAAAGUGGAUUUUGUGUUGAGGCUGCCGGACACAGAGAUGCCACUUGGUUUUUCUCUGGCACUUUACAUUCCAGGCAGACUAACAUGGCCUGUGCCUCUUUAAAUCCUGGCCUGGAAUCAGGGAGGGAUGGCUGACUGCACUCUAAGGCUAUCUUCCAAUGUUGUAGUAGCCAUGUCGGUCCCAGGAUAUUAGAGAGACAAGGUUGGGGAGGUAAUAUCUUCUAUUGAACCCACU